UACGGGAGGCAGCAGUGGGGAAUUUUGGACAAUGGUCGAAAGCCUGAUCCACCCAUGCCGGGUGUGUGAAGAAGGUCUUCGGAUUGUAAAGCACUUUAAGUUGGGAGGAAGGGCAGUUACCUAAUACGUGAUUGUUUUGACGUUACCGACAGAAUAAGCACCGGCUAACUAUGUGCCAGCAGCCGGGGUAAUUCAGAGGGUGCGAGCGUUAAUCGGAAUUUCUGGGCGUAAAGCGCGCGUAGGUGGUUAGUUAAGUUGGAAAUGAAAUCCCCGGGCUCAACCUGGGAAGUGCAUUCAAAAAUGACUGACUAGAGUAUGGUAGGGGGAGGUGGAAUUUCCGGUGGAGGGGGGAAAUGCGUGGAUAUAGGGAGG
rnacentral:rRNA from 1 species